GACGAACGCUGGCGGCGUGCCUAAUACAUGCAAGUCGAGCGGACGGAUGGGAGCUUGCUCCCAGACCGUCAGCGGCGGACGGGUGAGUAACACGUGGGCAACCUGCCUGUAAGACUGGGAUAACUCCGGGAAACCGGGGCUAAUACCGGAUAACUCUUUCCCUCACAUGAGGGAAAGCUGAAAGAUGGCAUCUCGCUAUCACUUACAGAUGGGCCCGCGGCGCAUUAGCUAGUUGGUGAGGUAACGGCUCACCAAGGCGACGAUGCGUAGCCGACCUGAGAGGGUGAUCGGCCACACUGGGACUGAGACACGGCCCAGACUCCUACGGGAGGCAGCAGUAGGGAAUCUUCCGCAAUGGACGAAAGUCUGACGGAGCAACGCCGCGUGAGUGAUGAAGGGUUUCGGAUCGUAAAACUCUGUUGUCAGGGAAGAACAAGUACCGGAGUAACUGCCGGUACCUUGACGGUACCUGACCAGAAAGCCACGGCUAACUACGUG
rnacentral:rRNA from 1 species